AUGGCGGCCGCGGCCGCCGCCGGCGAGUCGGCCGGCGAGCUGCUGCGCCGCGCGGCGGCGCUGGUCCCCGCGGAGCACUACGCGCUCGCGGCCCUCGUCGCCGUCUCGGCCCUCGCGUACCGGUUCGUGGAGCUCCACGUCAUCGGCGACCUCCUCCGCGGCCUCCGCGGCCGCCGCGUCGAGCUCACCUUCCACCCCGCCUCCGAGAUCUACCACUGCGUCGCCUCCAAGUGCCGCUCGCUCCACGGCAGGUACCUGGCGACGCCUUGGCUUGCGAGCCCGCAUUUGCAGACAUUGUUCCUUGGAAUCCAUGGCAGACCACCGUCCUUCACCUACAAGAGGCAACUGUACACAGUUCGUGAUGGUGGAACCAUUGCUUUGGAUUGGCUGCUGGCCUUUGAUUUGGAGGAUGCAGAUGAGAUCAUUUCAAAAGAUUCUUCAACACCCCUUUUAGUUGUCGUCCCUGGAUUAACCAGUGAUUCUGAUGCUGCUUAUGCAAAACACUUGGUUCAUUCCAUGGCAAGAAAAGGGUGGAAUGUUGUUGUAAGUAACCACAGGGGUCUUGGUGGUGUGUCCAUUACAUCAGAUUGCCUCUACAAUGGUGGAUGGACAGAGGAUGUCCGAGAAGUUAUUAAUUAUCUCCAUCGCAAGUAUCCAAAGGCUCCGAUGUUCUGUGUUGGUACAAGCAUAGGUGCCAAUAUCCUGGUCAAGUACCUUGGAGAAGAAGGUGAGAGUACUCCUCUGGCUGGUGCUGCAUCUAUUUGUUCUCCAUGGGAUCUGGUGGUAUGUGACAGAUUUAUUUCCCGUAAGCUUGUGCAACGGUUUUAUGACAAAGCCCUUGCGUUUGGUCUAAAGGGCUAUGCAAAGCUACAUCAACCUGUCUUGGCUCGCCUUGCAAAUUGGGAGGGUAUUAAAAAGUCACGCUCUAUCCGGGAGUUUGACCACCAUGCCACUUGCAUUGUUGCAAAAUAUGAGACUGUGGAUACCUACUACCGCCGGUGCAGCAGUGCUAGUUUUGUUGGUAAUGUGUCAGUUCCCUUGCUUUGUAUAAGUGCUUUGGAUGACCCCCUUUGCACAAGAGAGGCAAUUCCUUGGGACGAAUGCAGAGCGAACAAGAACAUUGUUUUGGCGACUACUCAGAAUGGUGGCCAUCUCGCAUUUUUUCAAGGACUAACUGCUGGAAAACUAUGGUGGGUUGGAGCUGUGUCUGAGUUCCUUUGUGCUCUGCAUGACAGCUCGUACAUGCAUCGACAAAAGGCGGAAGAUCAUGUUCUGCAUUCUUCACUGGAGUCGUCCAUUGACAAGAGCCCGUACGUCAACAUCCUUGGAGAUGGAAUGAUAGCUCCGGUCGGAAACGAUGGCCCCCCUUCUAGCCAGAUCACCGAUGAUCUGAAGCCGAAUGCCACGGUGAACAGCACACAACAAGAUGAACAAGCCAAGGAAGCGGAGAACAAUAGCGGCACGGAUGCAGUGCCCGCUCAAAGCCCUGCAGCUGCAGGGUCCGCAAAGCAGCAAGGGGAGGAACGCUACGCUGAUAAGAUCCGCGAUGCCAUGGCUCCCGUCAAGAGAUCCGUAAACAAGCUCGCCCGGUACCAAGGGAGGUCAGUCUGGCUCCUCGCGUACGUUGCCUUGGUGACAUCGUGGCCGCUGCUUGGCCCCCUGGCUUUCAUGCUCUUCAGGAAGAAGUCAAGGAAUCCUCUGUCCGCUAAGUAA
rnacentral:rRNA from 1 species